UGCUACAUAGCAUAUUAAAUGGGACUUUGU
rnacentral:piRNA from 2 species